GAUGAACGCUAGCUACAGGCUUAACACAUGCAAGUCGAGGGACCGGCGCACGGGUGAGUAACACGUCUCCAACCUGCCCUUUACUCGGGGAUAGCCUUUCGAAAGAAAGAUUAAUACCCGAUGUACAGGAUGGGGAUGCGUUCAAUUAGGUUGUUGGUGAGGUAACGGCUCACCAAGCCUUCGAUGGAUAGGGGUUAUGAGAGGAAGGUCCACCACAUUGGAAAUGAGGCACGGUCCAAACUCCUACGGGAGGCAGGAGUGAGGAAUAUUGGUCAAUGGGCGUUAGCCUGAACCAGCCAAGUAGAGUGAAGGAUGAAGGCUUUUGGGUCGUAAACUUCUUUUAUAUAAGAAUAUGUAUUAUAUGAAUAAGGAUCGGCUAACUCCGUGCCAGCAGCCGCGGUAAUUC
rnacentral:rRNA from 1 species